UACAGAGGGGGCAAGCGUUAUUCGGAAUUAUUGGGCGUAAAGGGCGCGUAGGCGGCCACCGCAAGUCGACUGUGAAAUCUCCGGGCUUAACCCGGAAAGGUCAGCCGAUACUGCGGGGCUAGAGUGCAGAAGGGGCAACUGGAAUUCUCGGUGUAGCGGUGAAAUGCGUAGAUAUCGAGAGGAACACCUGCGGCGAAGGCGGGUUGCUGGGCUGACACUGACGCUGAGGCGCGAAAGCCAGGGGAGCGAACGGG
rnacentral:rRNA from 1 species